UGUGCUCCAACAGGAGAAGCUGAAAAUGAAGGUACUAGUCAAGUAUUCCGGGAAGGAUUGGUUGGCUUGAGCUAGGUAAAACCUUGUACUCAGUUUUUAUUCUUCAUAGUGGAGUUUUCAAUCGGUGAUAGGCCCGUGGUUUUUUAUCUCUUCGGAGGUUUUCCACGUUAAAAAUCCGGUGUUCAUUGUCUCUUUCUCUCACUCUAUAUUUUGAUUUAUUUUUGAGGAGUGUUGAAGCAUUUGCAUGUGUUUUGCAUUUAUAAAUUGUUGGGAGAGUGUUGAUGCAUACAUUAUUGCUUGUGGAUGUUUUGCUUUGUUGAAAAGUUAUUGGAAGAAAAUUUUCUUGACAUUAAGAUAGUCUAAGGUUAGGUAAUCUUUGUUGGGAGAAUUUUUAAAUUGUUCUACAACACCUAUUCACCCCCCUCUAGGUGUAGUUCAUUAUUGAGAUUCACAUUUUCAAUUGGUAUCAGAGCGGGUUUUUAAAGGAAAAAUCAUUUUUAGUCCUUGAAUCUCAAUCAUGGAACCUCAUCAAGAGGGAGCUUCCAUUGGGAGACCACCAUUUUUAACCGGUGAAAAUUAUUCUCAUUGGAAAGUGAGAAUGCAAUAUUUUCUCAAAAUGCAAAGUGAAAAAGUUUGGAACACUGUUGAAUUUGGUUGGUCUCCACCUAAGGUGUUGGAUAGAGAAGGUAGACCAACUAAUGUUAUCAAGCCUAAAUUGGAAUGGGAUAGAAGUGAAAAUGAAGCAAGUGAGAAUAAUGCUAGAGCCAUGUACUCCAUCUUCGAUGCCAUUAGUACAGAUGAAUUCCGUAGGAUUGCUACAUGUACUUCGGCUAAGGAGGCUUGGGAUAUUCUCCAAGUGACUCAUGAAGGAACUAAUGCCGUGAAAGUGUCCAAGCUUCAAAUGUUGACAUCUAGGUUUGAGACCAUUAGGAUGGAUGAUCAUGAAACUUUUGGAGAAUUUAAUGCAAAACUGAUGGACAUUGUGAAUUCUAGCUUCAAUCUAGGUGAACCCAUCUCUAACUCUAAGGUGGUGAGAAAAAUUUUGAGAUCUCUUCCUGAGAGAUUUAGAGCUAAGGUCACCGCCAUUGAAGAGUCUAAGGAUGUGGAUUCCUUGAAGAUAGAUGAACUUGUAGGUUCCCUCCAAACCUUUGAGAUGACUCUUGUAUCACCUAGGAAAGCUAAGGGAAUUGCUUUAAAAGCUAUUAAAGAAGAGUCCCUAAGUUCCGAAAGUGAGGAUGAUGAGAAAAUGUCGGAGGGUGAGCUUACUAAGUUUGCUAAAAAAUUCAAGAAGUACAUGAAAUUCAGAAAAGCCAAGAAAGAAUCAAAUGAUGGUAAAAAAUGGAGGAACUCAAUUGGAAAAGAGAAAAAGAUGGAGAAAAGUGUGAAAAAGGAGUUGAAAAUUGAGUGCUUUAAAUGUGGGGGAAAGGGUCACUAUGCAUUUGAAUGUCCCUCAAAGAAAAAAGACAAGAAGGCCAUGAAAGUUACUUGGAGUGACUCCGAGUCUAAUCAAUCAAGUGAAAAAGAAUCCAAUGGAAGUGAGGAAUGCACUAACUUCAUAGCCUUUGCUGCAAGUGUCAAUGAGGAACCUCUUUUAAAAGAAGCUUCAAGUGAGUCAAGUGACUCCAAUGAUGAUGACAUGAGUUUUGACACAGCGUAUGAGACUUUGUAUAAGGAGUGUUUGAGCCUUAAACAAGAACAAGUCAAGUGGAAGGCUUCUAAGAAGAUUUUAACCAAUGAGGUUGAUGUUUUAAAGGGAGAAAAGAAAGCCUUGCUUGAUAAAAUUGCAUUUCUUGAAAAUGAACAUUUGGAAGUGAAGGAAAAAUGUGAUAUGUUGAAAAGUGAAAUUCAAAUGUUCAAGGAUGAGUUAAGUCUUAGGAAGGAAGAGUUACAUCCUAGCUCUAAAAGACUUAAUGAGUUAAUUAAUUCAGGGCGUAAAUCUUUUGAUAAAAGAGGCUUAGGAUUUCUUGGUGAAAAUGCUACUACAAGUAGUAGUAAAACGGUUUUUGUUAAGCCUUGUGAAAAAGAAUCUCCUAAGAAACCUCAAUCUCAAAUCAAGUUUCAUUGCAAUCAUUGUGGAAAAAUGGGACACACUUUUGAUAGAUGUUAUGCAAGAUUGUUUGAUAAUUUUCAAAGGAGGUUGACCAACCUAAUGAAUGAAUGUCAUGCUUUGAAGAAUAGGUUGUUGAAUCAGAAUAAGAGAGUGUCCAAGAAGAGCUCAAAGAUCUCUCAUAAUGGUGAGUUGAAAGGAAGCACUUUGAAUGAAAAGACAAAAAUCUCAAAUGUUAAACAAAUUUGGGUGAAAAAGAAUGAGUUGAAGUGUUUCGUUGUCCAUACCGCACUUAAAGCUAUUGAGUCACACUCAUGGUAUCUUGAUAGUGGAUGUUCACAUCAUAUGACUGGAAAUAAAUCUUUGUUCACUUCAUUCACUGAAUUUGAUGGAGGAAAUGUGACAUUUGGAGAUGGUAAUAUGGCUAGAGUGAAAGGCAAAGGUACCAUUUGUGCCCCCAACAUUCCUAAUCUUGAAGAGGUCUUAUAUGUUGAAGGUUUAAAGGCUAACUUAAUUAGCAUAAGCCAAAUGUGUGAGAAUGAGUUCAAUGUCCAAUUUUCACAAAAUCUUUGCAAGGUGUUUGACUUGAAUGAUUUUUGUGUGAUGAUUGGCUUGAGAACUUGUGAUAAUUGUUAUGUUGUUAGUCAAAAGUCUCCUUCAUCAUCUUCUCUUGUGUGUGGAAGUUCUAAAAUUGCAUGUGUUAAUCACUUGUUGGAACAUAGAUUGUUGCAAAAUGAAAAAGAACAUCCCAUUGUAAAAGUUAGGAUUGAUAGGGGGAGAAAAUUUGAUGAUGCCAAUGUUGUUGAUAGGUUAAAGAACCAUGUUCUUCAUUCUAGAUCAAAACAUGUGGACAUUAAGCAUCACUUCAUUCAAGACUUGGUAGAAGACAAGAUUGUUUCACUAGAGUUUUUCCUUAUGGAGGGUCAAAUUGCUAACAAUGUUACUAAACCUUUGGAUGUUUCUAGGUUUGAAUCACUUAGGAGCCCCAUAGGUUUAUAUACUCUCUAUUAACUACCUCUAGAACUUGUCUAGGACUUUCUUCUUGAAUAUCUUUGAGUCCUAGGUGUCUUCUCAAGUUCCAAAGUGUCCUUGUGGUGGUGUUCUUUUUGUUUUGGUUCAAUCUUUUCUUCAUUUUUCAUAAAUUUUCAACAUUUGCUGAGUUCAUGAGAGUGACAUGCUUACAUUUUUGUUUAAAAGUUAAAUUGACUCAUAAUGAUCUUAAAAGCUUCAAGAUGUCUUUAUCUCCAUGGCUUGAUUGAUAAACAUGAUGUUGAAUCCUUGCUAUUUUGAUUUGAUUAGAUAAACCACAAAAGGUUAGUUUCAUUUCUUUUAAGUGAGUAAUAGCUCAUGGUUGAACCUUGUGAUUACAUAAAUGGUGAGUAAUGCUUUUUGUAGUCUAAAUGCAAAUUUAUGUUUAUCUAAUGAGCAUUAAAAAGUGAGUAAAGUCACCCGGAAUAUCCUUGAGUGUUUUAAGAUUAUUCUUCCUUGAUUGUUUGCCCUCUCUUUGAAAUUAAAAAAAAAAAAAAAAAAAAAAAGGAAAAGAAAAAAUAUAUAUAUAUUAAGCUUCCCGGAAUGGUUAUGGCUCCUUGGCAAUGUUUCAAGAGUUAAAAAGCCUCCUUUGCAAGAGUGGGACAUCCCUUAUGUUGUUAUGUUGUAAAGGCCACCUUAGUGAUCGUCAAGUAAAAAAAAAAAAAAAAAAUUGAUCCUAAGGGUGAAGCUCAUGUUCGUGUAAUAAUUUCAAUGCUCAAUGUGAAAAACAAAUGAUGUAUGAAUUUUUUUUUGGGAUGUGAAUAGGCCGUGUUAAACAAAAAUCCGGCCAAGAGAGGUGCAAAUUGACUUCUUGGAACAUUAUCUUGAAUUUCUCUAGGAAGGAAGUGUGUCUUGAAAAUGAUUUUUCACUUUAUGGGUGGAUAUAGGUUUACAAGUGGAAAGAAAUUAACAUUCUCACUAUUUUAUGGUGUCAUGAGUAAGUCUUCUUUGAGUUUAAGCUUCCUUGUUAGAAUGUUGAUAAUCAUUUGUUUUUUAUCUAUUCAUUUGAUAAAUUUGGAAGGUUCUUCAAUCUUUAUGUUUAUUAAUUUUGUCUAAAGUUAAGCUCUUAGUAGCAUCCUUGUUCAAUAUGAAUCAAUUCUAACUCCUUGAUUGAAAGACAAGUAUGUCAUUCUAUUGUAUUUUAGCUUUGGUGAAUCAAAUUUUCAAUUUUUGAAAAGCUUGUUGGAGUAUUUCUUGUGUCUUAUCGUCAGUUUUUUUGUCUAAGUCUUUUUUCAGUAGGGUGUCGAUCGAUCUGCUGAAUUUGUGGAUCGAUCCACUGUGUGCACAGUCUUGUGACCGAGAGCCCUUGAACGAAUUGAGGAUCGAUCCACCAAGAUCGAUACCACUUGCUCCAACACUUAGAAAUUUUCGUGAAAAGUUUCCUGCACAGUUUUUUCCACUGAGAGCUCUUGAACGAAACUUGGAUCGAUCCACCAAGAUCGAUACCACUUAUCUCUUAAAAAAAAAAAAAAAAAAAAAAUUCCUGUUUUGUCCUUGGUCUUGUGUGUUUUUUAAAAGAGGAUAUGAGGGGUAAAAUUGUCAUUCCGUAAAAAAAAAAAAAAAAAUCAAAAUCCCCAAUUUUUAAAAACCCCUCUUCCAUUCUCAAUUGAGCCCUAAUUUCAAAAUCUUUCAAAAUGGGUCUUCAUCUUCUUCUUCUUUUCUUCUUCAUUGCAUAAGCUUCCACCACCAUGGUUGCUGAAAUUUAUUUCUGAUGAAGUCCUCCUCCGUCAUCAUUCUUUUCAACAUUGGAAAUCUCUACAUCAAUGUUUCAUUGGCGCCAUUUCUUUUUCGGAGUGGCUCAUUCACGGGUUUCUUAGCUUAAGCUAUCUUUUUCGGGAACCUUGGGUGUUCGGUUUGUCCAUCUUUCUCUCCACCAUUAGCUUAAUCUAGAUGUUUUCUUUGUGUGGAAUCCUUUCACAACAGUUUUUUUUUUGGAGUUUCAUUUUUGCCUUGGAUUGUUUUUGCUUUCUAGCAAUGUUAAUCCUAGGCUUUGUUUGCUCAUUGUGAGUGCCCUCUAUACAUUUUCAUGCUUGGAAUCUAUUUUCAUGGUGAUAAAGCAUUUUUUCGAAGUUUUUAAAUGAAACCAUGUGAUGAGAUUUAGGGGGAGUUUCGUAUAUCUUAUGAUGGGAGUUAGGGGGAGAUUCUUGUAUCCUAUAUUUUUUUUGGGAUGUUGAUAUGGAUACUUGGUAAUAUGUGAAUACUUGAUUUUUGAGUAUUUGACAUUUUGUUGAAAUGUGGAUGUUUGUUGAUUUGGAUGUAAGAUAUUUUGCUAAUUGAAUUGUCAUCCAUUUGUCUUUUUUCUUGGAUAGAAAGGGGGAGAUUGUGGCCCUUUGUCUCUUUCUGGGACAAAAAGGGGGAGAGACAUUGUAGUUAUUAUUUUGGUGAUUGGAUAUAUGUGGAUAUCUAUGUGUUAAUUCAUUCAAAUCUUGUGGAAGUGCCUUAGAAUAUGUACAGGUGCUACUAAUGUUUUUCUUGAGAUUUUUUUUGCAGGUAUUGUAGUACCUAGGUUGUGGUUUUGAGUGAGUGAGGGGUCUUGUAUGAGAGUUGGGUGGGGUUUACUUACUUGUACUCAUUCGUGUUGUAAAGGGUUUUGUCCCAGAAUUGCCAAAGGGGGAGAUUGUGAGUGUUUAGCUAGGUUGGCAAUUCAGGACAAAAUUCCUAAGUGUCUCCUAACUCGGCUUUCCUAUUCCUAUUCGGACUACUUGACUUUGAAGACUAAGACUUUGCUAAGAGGCCAAGGUAUGUAGUCGAGUGUGGAGUGAUUGGGUGUGAAUCAACCCGGUUUUUAAUCUUUAAAUGUGUUAGAAAGUUGGGAAAAAUGGUUUUUGGUGCAAGGCUUUUAUUCCUCUGUUUCUGGAUCGAUCCAGGUGUAGGGGUGGAUCUAUCCAACUAAUGUUUUUUUGAUCAAAUCUCAGCCAUUAGAUUAAGGGUUUCUUUUUACACUUUAAAACCCAAUCUUCUCUCAUUUUCUGAGUUGAGAGACUGCUGAAAACGUGGGGAGAGCAGCCACACUCCCAAGUGUUCUUCAUUUCUCAUUUUUGCUUUCCUAAGUUGGGGUUUUUGAUUGCAAAGAAAAUCCACUUCUCUUAAUGUUUUCAAAACUAGUUUUCAAUGGAUUUUCUUGAGCAAUAAAGGGGUUGAUUCAUUUCUUCAUUCACAUCUAAAUCUCUCAUUCUAUUUGGGUUGUGCAAAAACCCAUUUUCUUCUUGUGUUGAUUCAAGAAGAGGCCGAGAUUGAGCUUGGUGCGGACUCCAAGUGUGCUCCAACAGGAGAAGCUGAAAAUGAAGGUACUAGUCAAGUAUUCCGGGAAGGAUUGGUUGGCUUGAGCUAGGUAAAACCUUGUACUCAGUUUUUAUUCUUCAUAGUGGAGUUUUCAAUCGGUGAUAGGCCCGUGGUUUUUUAUCUCUUCGGAGGUUUUCCACGUUAAAAAUCCGGUGUUCAUUGUCUCUUUCUCUCACUCUAUAUUUUGAUUUAUUUUUGAGGAGUGUUGAAGCAUUUGCAUGUGUUUUGCAUUUAUAAAUUGUUGGGAGAGUGUUGAUGCAUACAUUAUUGCUUGUG
rnacentral:lncRNA from 1 species